rnacentral:misc_RNA from 1 species
AUGUAAAAUUACAUGAUUGAGCUCCUGUUUUUAAUAUUUGUUCCAUUGUGCGCAGCCCCUAAGGCCUUAUGUUUCAAAAUGCUCUUUCCGAAAAAAAUUUACUCGAUAUAAUACAGUAUACGUUACGUGUACUAUAUGUUUUGAAUAACUUUCUUCGGAAAGAACGUUUUGAAAUAUUGCCUAAGUAAAAUGGUGGCUAAAUGAAAAGAAGAAAAGAAAAAGUUCUCCAGUUUUUUAAAAUUGUGUCUGCCCUAUACUGAACUACGAUCAGAAAAAAGGAUUAAAGAAAUCACGAUUUGUAGUAUGUAAUUAAACUAAAUACCGUUGUUGGUGGCUGCUAAGGAUGCACAAUUAAUGAAAUUGAUUAGGAUUGGGUUAGCCAAUACAUGGUGGAUAAGUUUAAUACCAAAUCUUCACUUUCAUUUGAUUAAGCAAAAGGGAAAGCAGAUUAAAUCAUUGCAAAAAUAUAAGUUAUUUGAGAUCAUUAUCGAUUAUUCGGAUGGAAAAGUUGAUUGAUUAUUUUCGAUUAGCCAGUCGCAAAUUAUUUCAAGAAUUAAUAUUUGUAACAGUGACGAUAAGACGGUGAUUAUGGUAAAUGCAAGUAGUGUCGUAGCACAUUUUGUGAAAUUGCUAGUGACUGCAAUAUGCAUGAGGCAUAUCACGGAGCCUUACCGGGCAAUGGCUUUGCCGACUACAUGGUCCUUACGUGCCUUUCGAAUUCUCUUUAUGCAUUCAAUCUUGGGAAUUUUCAGAUUUGGUAUGGAGCAUCUAAGAUUCCAUGUCAUAACUGGGGAAGGGAGGGGGGUCACAUUGAAGAGUGAUUGAUACAAAAUGAUACAUGGCCACACACGAUAUUUAAUUUUUGUAUCUAAAUGACAUAUGGAAGAGGAAGAUGUAUUCUACGUUUACCAACAUUAAGGAUUAUGGUAAUAAUUCGUGCAAAUUACUUGUUAUCAUUGGAACAUGUGAGGAAACACCAUGAACAUACAUAUUCCAUUAUAGAACAUGUUUAUUUUGAAGAUUUCUAUACUUUGCUUUAUUCAACAUUUUUUAAUGGUAUUUA